CAGGCGGGUGUGGAUGGUAGGUGAAAUCGUGGAGGAGUGAAGGAUGUUCACGGAGGAUACCGUGGGAAGAGAGAGAGCGAAGAAGUCGGUGAGUGAGAGAGGUCUGCGAGAGAGUGAGGAGAUUCUGUGUAAGAGGAGUGGAAGUACAUGGAGGAGGCCGCGGGAGGAAAGAGUGAGCGAAGAGUUCGGUGAGUAAGUGAGAUCCGUGAGAGCGAGGAUAUCUUCUGUGUGUACGAGUGGGGUGCAUGGAGGAGGCCGCCGGAGGAGAGAAGGAAGAAUGCGGUGUGUGAGUGUUCCGUGAGAGAGAUGAGAAUUCGUGAUUGUGUGAUUGUGAGUUGUGAUACUUUUAGUAGGCCACGGGAGGAGGGAGAAGGAGGAAAGCGAUGUGUGAGUUAUGUGAGAGAGAUGAGAGUUC
rnacentral:lncRNA from 1 species